UCAAUGCGAGCUGAGCAGACAGGGCUGCAAGGAAAUCUGGCGCGGUUCAAUACCUCGUCUACCCUGGGUUCCAGUAUCUAAUUUUUUUUACUGACAAACUCAUUUCUCUACCGGGACAGGAUGCUGUGCUGGCUGGAAGUUCCAUUUCUACAGCAAGAAUCCUAUCUGGAAACACAGAAGUUGUCCUCUAGCCACAGCAGCUCGAACUUUUUUGAUUGUUGUUGCUGCUUUCUCCCAUCACCCCCACCCCCUUUUGACAAAGAUCCAACUGUAAAAAGUCUUACGUAACAGUUCAGGACUACUUCGGUUCUUUUACUGGUAUAUCAAGAGGCCUCAAGAGGACUAUGAAAACAAUUACAUCUCUAAGUUGGAGCAAUGUGGGUUUCAGUAUUUCGUAGUACCUCUGGAAAAGGAAAGAAGUCAUCCAUUGCAAAUCUCCAGCCCCAGAUGUUCCAGCACUCCCUACACCCACCAGAGAUAAUGGCAGAGAUUCAUGACUACCCAAGGACCCAACAACAGCCUUUGAAUGCAACUAUCUUUUCAUCAAUUGUAAACAAGUCCUAAACUCUUGGCUCCAUAGGGAGUCCCUACCAAGUCAGUAUAAACUCUGUAAUAGGGGCAGAGGUCAAGGGGAUGAGCUCAGCCUAAGCUCUGAAUCUCAUCCCACCCCUACCCUGUUCAAAAGAAUCCUUAUCAGAAGAGAACUCCCCAGCAAAAGGCCACAUUCAGAGACCUGAUGUAGCAGUGAUCUAGCAGAUUCAGCUGAAGCUUUGUAAACAGGCUCUUGGAACAGUUAUGAAUGUGAAAUAUCUAAAUCACUAACGAAGUGUUAUGAAGGAAAGGGGACAUGGGGACAUAAAGGGGGAAACAAGGGAGAUCUGUGCAUUUAUCUUCAUUUGUUUCAGGAAAGAAUCUGUCUGACAUAUAGUGGACUAAUCCUGAACCUGAGCCACAGAAGAAAUCUCUUUGGGAACCUAUUUUUUGUGUCCAAAAUUCUUUGUGUCCAAAUUUGUGUCCAUUCUAAUUGUAUGCAAAAGAGCCCAAAUGACACCAAAAAAAUAGUGUAUUCUUCUGUAUAUAUACAAAAAAGCCCAUUAUAUAUAAGUCAUUAUACUGUUUUAAGCUUUCCCAUUAGCAUUUGAGACUUGCCACACUCAAGAGAGCUAGAGACAGAACAGGAGUUAAAACAACAGCUCUCAAACCUCAGGUAUUUCUCCGCUAUGUACUUUGGGGUGAGUCUUUUAACUUCUCAGGCCUCAAUGUUUUCAUCUGUAAGAUACGGAUAGUGUCUUUUUAAACAAGUUUUACGAGUGCUUGCAUGGGAAGCACUUAGUGUGUAAUAAGUAUUAGUUAUUAGUGGUAGGAGUAGCCACAUAUUAUCAAGUUUUGUGUCCAUCUUCCUGACUAAACCAGAGCCCCUUGGGGACACAAACUGUGUCACAGCUUGGCACACAUCAAAGAGAAAAAGGGAAGGGAGGAAAGAACAAAAGACUAGGUAUUACCAAGUCAAACUUAAAAUUACAUAAUUUUAUAUGAUAUAAUCCUUCUCACUCUUACUGAAUAUAUGAAAGUGCCUGGCACAUAAGGGAUACCCAGUAAAUGUUAAUUUUCCUUCCUUCCUUGAUCUCUAACAUCCCACCUUAAAUUUACUU